rnacentral:rRNA from 1 species
GAUGAACGCUGGCGGUAUGCUUAACACAUGCAAGUCGAACGGACUCUUCGGAGUUAGUGGCGGACGGGUGAGUAACGCGUGAGAAUCUGGCUUUGGGUUCUGGACAACCACUGGAAACGGUGGCUAAUACCGGAUGUGCCGAGAGGUAAAAGAGAAAUUGCCUGAAGAUGAGCUCGCGUCUGAUUAGCUAGUUGGUGAGGUAAAGGCUCACCAAGGCAGCGAUCAGUAGCUGGUCUGAGAGGAUGACCAGCCACACUGGGACUGAGACACGGCCCAGACUCCUACGGGAGGCAGCAGUGGGGAAUUUUCCGCAAUGGGCGAAAGCCUGACGGAGCAAUACCGCGUGAGGGAAGAAGGCUCUUGGGUUGUAAACCUCUUUUCUUAGGGAAGAACAAAGUGACGGUACCUAAGGAAUCAGCAUCGGCUAACUCCGUG